GAGCUGUGAGGAAGUUUGUGCUUCUUUGUGAUAGAUGGGUCUUUCACUACCGUCAAUUCGACGAUUCAGCAGUAUAUCUGAGCUC